GAAAGUAAGAAAGGGCGUAUGGCGGAUGCCUAGGCUCACGGAGGCGAUGAAGGACGUGAUAAGCUGCGACAAGCCCUGGGAAGGUGCAAAUGACCGUUGAUCCAGGGAUUUCCGAAUGGGACAACCCGGCAGUCUGAAGGACUGUCAUCCGGAUGAAUAUCCGGAGGCGAACGGAGGGAACUGAAACAUCUUAGUACCUCCAGGAAGAGAAAAUAAACAAUGA
rnacentral:rRNA from 1 species